rnacentral:rRNA from 1 species
UACGGGGGGGGCAAGCGUUGUUCGGAAUUACUGGGCGUAAAGGGCUUGUAGGCGGCCAACUAAGUCCGACGUGAAAUCCCCAGGCUUAACCUGGGAACUGCGUCGGAUACUGGAUGGCUUGAAUUCGGGAGAGGGAUGCAGAAUUCCAGGUGUAGCGGUGAAAUGCGUAGAUAUGUGGAGGAACACCGAUGGCGAAGGCAGCCCCCUGGGCUAACACUGACGCUGAUGCGCGAAAGCGUGGGGAGCGAUCCGG